AUAAAGUCCCGUAACGUCUGAUCAAAGAUAGUCCGUGGGUCUCCAAUGAAUUAGAUGGGAGCUCAGGGCUGCUCGCUAGUUGUUGGUAGGAUGGUUCAGUUGCCUGAUAACCUCUGCAAGAAAA